GUUAUUAUGAAAAAAAAUAGUAAAAGUUCUGGAAACAACUUGAUUGAUUUUUAACAACUGAAUAGAGAUGGCGGUAGUAUUUUAAUCAGAGAGAGCAGACAAUUCGGCAUCAAUAUGGUGACCUCCUGGGAGCGGGGAGCCACCGGGUUGCCUAAGGAGAGGUGAACCGGCCCAGGUCGGAAACGGAGCAGGUCAAAACUCCCGUGCUGGUCUCAUGGGCUAAAUUAUCUCUACUCUUUUCACCUUUUAAGAAUACUCGU
rnacentral:sRNA from 1 species